UAAAGCUGGGUGGAACUAACAAAGGGGUGAAGAUUGUUGCAGAGGGACACCGGCCUCGUCUUCCCUUCUAGAAGUGCAUGCUUAAAUGAAGAUGAAUAAAGAUGAAUAAAGAUUUUGUAAUCAUGACUACUGGGUCCGGUGCCAUCUCUGAAAGCCCGAGGAAUAAUAAAGAACCGGGGUAAAACUGAUUUCUUAACAGUUUUGGUGCCGAAACCCGGGAUUCGCUCGAGGCCCAGAGAGGAAUUGGCAGAGCUGAGAUCGUGAAACGAGGCGAGCAGAGAGCUAGCUCACAUGAUUAAAAGGUAAGCACGACCUGUUUAUUUUCGAACCGUGCAUAUUGUUUAAAGCCUAAAAUUAUCUGUUCGCUAAGUUGAGCGUAUCCCAGUGUAAAUUCACUCAGUAGAAAAAGGCGGCUAGGGUCCGUCUCAGUGCGUUAAAGCAAGAGACUUUUGCUAAGAACUUCAGGUUGAUGUUUAGCGCCCCGUAAGAGAAUCUCCGUGCGUUAAAGCAGGAGAUGCUUGUUACGGAUUAGUAGAAUCGGUGUUUCAUCCGUCUUAGUUAUUAGGAAAAAGUGGCGGUUUGUGACCCGUCCUCCAUGCGUUAAAGCAGGAAAUCUGUGUUACUAUUAGCUAGAAAGCGGGGCUGAAAGGCCUCGUCGCCAGCUCAGUGCUGUGUGUGUCACGGGUUUGGUUACCCCACCUAGUCUCGGACGCGGGGCUAGGACCUGUGAGGGCAGGAGAUCCAGGGUGGUGACCUGGGGAUUGGUGACUCCUUAAAUAACUAAGUCGGGGAGAGGUCCCUGUCACAGUCUGAAGUAUGCAUAAAACCAGGAUCGGUUGCUUUCGCCGGUUAGAUUCCGAGCUGAGUUGAACCAGUGCCUGAUGCAGAAGGAGGGCUGUGUAGUGUGUUUGAAAGUGCAGUUAGAGUCUGUGUCUCGUCUGAAGUACGGGUGUCAAUUAAAGUAACAAAAGAAUUUGGGUCUAAAAAUGUGUGUUUGUGGUGUGCAGAAAUCGCGGCAGGAGGCCGUGUCGCGAAUUAUUGCAAACUGUGAAGUCAAUUGGGGGGUUUAAUUUGGUUUUAUAUUUUUUGGGGGAAGAGAAGCCGCGGAAUUGAGUCCGUGGCGCAGUUUGAAUAAUUUGUGAAGUGUACAAGAGCGGACGGCACCCGCUCUUUGUUCUGAUUAGGGCGUUGUCCUGUAUCAGCAGAGAAGGUGUCUCGCAGAAAGUUUGAAUGGGACUGCGAGAAGCAUGAGGUGUGUGUGAGCCAGCCUCGAGGGGCGGGUUCACAGGUGGAACAAAGGAGGAGUGUGUGUGUGAGAGAGAGAAAAAAAGGUGGGGCGAGUGACCAGCCUGUGAGUGUGUGUGUGUGUGAAUUCCUUGAUGACAAAAGAGGGAGACAAAGUAGAUUAGUUGAUUGUCUGUGAAAUAAUAAGAGUUAAAAAUAAACGUGAUCAAAUAGGAGAAAGUGAACUAAAAUAAAUAAAUAAAACUAAACAGUGGAUUAGUGUUAAGGUAAUAAUAAAUAAAUUGAUAAAAUUAACAGUGACAUUUAAAGGUGACCAAGUACUCAAGGAUGAAUGGAGAAUUUGUUUGCUGAUUGUAUGAGAGCUGUUGGGGUGAAAGAAAAAUGAGCUUGGGGGAGUGAGUUUACAGGUUAAUGUGUGGGUGUAAAAAAAAAAAAAAAAAAAAAAAAGAAAAAAAAAGGGGAAAA